GCCGGGGUGGCGAAAUGGCAGACGCACAGGUUUUAGGAACCUGCGAGGAAACUCAUGGAGGUUCAAGUCCUCUCCCCGGCA
rnacentral:tRNA from 1 species